UACGUAGGUGGCAAGCGUUGUCCGGAUUUACUGGGCGUAAAGAGCGCGCAGGCGGUCGUUCAAGUCGCGUGUGAAAGCCCCCGGCUCAACUGGGGAGGGUCACGCGAUACUGAUCGACUCGAAGGCAGGAGAGGGAAGUGGAAUUCCCGGUGUAGUGGUGAAAUGCGUAGAUAUCGGGAGGAACACCGGUGGCGAAGGCGGUUCUCUGGGCAUUACCUGACGCUGAGGAGCGAAAGUGUGGGGAGCGAACAGG
rnacentral:rRNA from 1 species